AACGCACGAGACCUGCGGACCUGCGGAAGGAUCAUUACCGAGUUCUCGCCCCUCGCGGGGUAGACCUCCCACCCACUGUGAUCACUACCGUCGUUGCUUUGGCGGGCCGCUGGGCCCAGCCCACCGCCGGCUCCAGCUGGCGCGUGCCCGCCAGAGGCCCUACAAACGCUGGAUAUCAGUGCCGUCUGAGUACACAUGUUAAUCGUUAAAACUUUCAGCAACGGAUCUCUAGAUCGGAAG
rnacentral:misc_RNA from 1 species